rnacentral:rRNA from 1 species
GACGAACGCUGGCGGCGUGCCUAAUACAUGCAAGUUGAGCGAUGAAGCUUGGUGCUUGCACCAAUUUGAAGAGCAGCGAACGGGUGAGUAACGCGUGGGGAAUCUGCCUUUGAGCGGGGGACAACAUUUGGAAACGAAUGCUAAUACCGCAUAACAACUUUAAACAUAAGUUUUAAGUUUGAAAGAUGCAAUUGCAUCACUCAAAGAUGAUCCCGCGUUGUAUUAGCUAGUUGGUGAGGUAAAGGCUCACCAAGGCGAUGAUACAUAGCCGACCUGAGAGGGUGAUCGGCCACAUUGGGACUGAGACACGGCCCAAACUCCUACGGGAGGCAGCAGUAGGGAAUCUUCGGCAAUGGACGAAAGUCUGACCGAGCAACGCCGCGUGAGUGAAGAAGGUUUUCGGAUCGUAAAACUCUGUUGGUAGAGAAGGACGUUGGUGAGAGUGGAAAGCUCAUCAAGUGACGGUAACUACCCAGAAAGGGACGGCUAACUACGUG